rnacentral:rRNA from 1 species
ACGUAGGGGGCAAGCGUUGUCCGGAAUUAUUGGGCGUAAAGAGCGUGUAGGCGGUCCGGUAAGUCAGCUGUGAAAGUCAAGGGCUCAACCCUUGAAUGCCGGUUGAUACUGUCGGGCUAGAGUCCGGAAGAGGCGAGUGGAAUUCCCGGUGUAGCGGUGAAAUGCGCAGAUAUCGGGAGGAACACCAAUGGCGAAGGCAGCUCGCUGGGACGGUACUGACGCUGAGACGCGAAAGCGUGGGGAGCAAACAGGA